rnacentral:tRNA from 1 species
GCCAGAGUAGCUCAGAUGGUAGAGCAGCUGAUUUGUAAUCAGCUGGUCGGGGGUUCGAUUCCCUUCUCUGGCU